UCCCCGGUAGCUCAAUUGGCAGAGCAUCUGACUGUUAAUCAGAGGGUUGUUGGUUCGAGUCCAACCCGGGGAG
rnacentral:tRNA from 1 species